CCUACGGGGGGCAGCAGUGGGGAAUAUUGGACAAUGGGGGGAACCCUGAUCCAGCCAUGCCGCGUGUGUGAAGAAGGCCCUCGGGUUGUAAAGCACUUUCAGUGAGGAAGAACGCCUGGUGGUUAAUACCCAUCAGGAAAGACAUCACUCACAGAAGAAGCACCGGCUAACUCCGUGCCAGCAGCCGCGGUAAUACGGAGGGUGCGAGCGUUAAUCGGAAUUACUGGGCGUAAAGCGCGCGUAGGUGGCUUGAUAAGCCGGUUGUGAAAGCCCCGGGCUCAACCUGGGAACGGCAUCCGGAACUGUCAAGCUAGAGUGCAGGAGAGGAAGGUAGAAUUCCCGGUGUAGCGGUGAAAUGCGUAGAGAUCGGGAGGAAUACCAGUGGCGAAGGCGGCCUUCUGGACUGACACUGACACUGAGGUGCGAAAGCGUGGGUAGCCAACAGGAUUAGAUACCCUAGUAGUC
rnacentral:rRNA from 1 species